AUUGAACGCUGGCGGCAUGCCUUACACAUGCAAGUCGAACGGCAGCACGGGUGCUUGCACCUGGUGGCGAGUGGCGAACGGGUGAGUAAUACAUCGGAACAUGUCCUGUAGUGGGGGAUAGCCCGGCGAAAGCCGGAUUAAUACCGCAUACGAUCCACGGAUGAAAGCGGGGGACCUUCGGGCCUCGCGCUAUAGGGUUGGCCGAUGGCUGAUUAGCUAGUUGGUGGGGUAAAGGCCUACCAAGGCGACGAUCAGUAGCUGGUCUGAGAGGACGACCAGCCACACUGGGACUGAGACACGGCCCAGACUCCUACGGGAGGCAGCAGUGGGGAAUUUUGGACAAUGGGCGAAAGCCUGAUCCAGCAAUGCCGCGUGUGUGAAGAAGGCCUUCGGGUUGUAAAGGACUUUUGUCCGGAAAGAAAUCCUUGACUCUAAUACAGUCGGGGGAUGACGGUACCGGAAGAAUAGGCACCGGCUAACUACGUG
rnacentral:rRNA from 1 species